rnacentral:lncRNA from 1 species
UGUCAAUAAACAAUUACAGUAAGUUUUUCUGAGUCUUCGAGGCAGUCGGUGAUCAGCAAAGUGCUCCUGGACUUUCAGAGGAGGAAAACUCAGUCUUCGAUGAAAGUGAUUGGAGCAGGCUAGACGGGAGAAGAAUUUGACCUGGAAGCUAGAAGGGUUAUAGUCCCAGAUGGUGGAGCAAAGGCAUGGUGGCAAGAAUAACCGGAACAUCCACUGAAAGCUCCUAUCUUGAUCUACUAGCAAGAGGCAGAGUGAGAGGGCACACUGGGAAUGUCUUCACCAGAGCCAACUGGAUGUUAAUGCUAUGCUAUUGAGCUGCUUGGACAAUGAGUUAAAU